rnacentral:rRNA from 1 species
AGCGAACGUUAGCGGCGGGCCUAACACAUGCAAGUCGAACGAGAAAGUACCCUUCGGGGUGCGAGUAAAGUGGCGAACGGGUGAGUAACACGUGGGUAAUCUAGCCUUCGGCGCGGGACAACAGCUCGAAAGGGCUGCUAAUACCGCAUACGUCGGUGACAACAGCGGUUGUUACCGGGAAAGGGUGGCUCCUUCGGGGGCUAUCGCCCGAGGAUGAGGCCGCGGCCCAUCAGCUUGUUGGUGAGGUAAUGGCUCACCAAGGCUAUGACGGGUAGCUGGUCUGAGAGGAUGAUCAGCCACACUGGGACUGAGACACGGCCCAGACUCCUACGGGAGGCAGCAGUGGGGAAUAUUGGACAAUGGGCGCAAGCCUGAUCCAGCCACGCCGCGUGUGUGAUGAAGGUUUUCGGAUCGUAAAGCACUGUGGAAAGGGAAGAAAAGCAUCGGGAAUAAUACCCUGGUGUCUUGACGGUACCUUUUUAGCAAGCACCGGCUAACUCCGUGCCAGCAGCCGCCGUAAUAC